GGGUAUGAGCUCACCAAGCCGACGAUCCUUAGGGGUUCUGAGAGGAUUAUCCCCCACACUGGUACUGAGACACGGACCAGACUCCUACGGGAGGCAGCAGUGAGGAAUAUUGGUCAAUGGACGCAAGUCUGAACCAGCCAUCCCGCGUGCAGGAUGACGGCCCUAUGGGUUGUAAACUGCUUUUAUAUACCAAGAAACGCUUUUACGUGUAGAAGUUUGACGGUAGUAUAUGAAUAAGGACCGGCUAACUCCGUGCCAGCAGCCGCGGUAUACGGAGGGUCCAAGCGUUAUCCGGAUUCAUUGGGCUUAAAGGGUGCGCAGGCGGAACUUUAAGUCAGUGGUGAAAUCUUGCCGCUUAACGGUAAAAUUGCCAUUGAUACUGAAGUUCUUGAAUAUGGUUGAGGUAGGCGGAAUGUGUUGUGUAGCGGUGAAAUGCAUAGAUAUGACACAGAACGCCGAUAGCGAAGGCAGCUUACUAAGCCAUUAUUGACGCUGAGGCACGAAAGCGUGGGGAGCGAACAGGAUUAGAUACCCUGGUAGUCCACGCCGUAAACGAUGUUCACUCGCUGUCUGCGAUACACAGUAGGCGGCUUAGCAAAGCAUUAAGUGAACCACCUGGGGAGUACGAUCGCAAGGUUGAAACUCAAAGGAAUUGACGGGGGCCCGCACAAGCGGAGGAACAUGUGGUUUAAUUCGAUGAUACGCGAGGAACCUUACCUGGGCUUAAAUGUAGAUUGCAUAGAUUAGAGAUAGUCUUUUUCUUCGGAACUAUUUACAAGGUGCUGCAUGGUUGUCGUCAGCUCGUGCCGUGAGGUGUCGGGUUAAGUCCCAUAACGAGCGCAACCCCUAUCGUUAGUUGCUAGCAGGUAAUGCUGAGGACUCUAGCGAGACUGCCACCGUAAGGUGAGAGGAAGGUGGGGAUGACGUCAAAUCAGCACGGCCCUUAUGCCCAGGGCUACACACGUGUUACAAUGGUCGGUACAAAGGGCAGCUACUUGGUGACAAGAUGCUAAUCCCUAAAGCCGAUCCCAGUUCGGAUUGGAGUCUGCAACCCGACUCCAUGAAGUUGGAUUCGCUAGUAAUCGGAUAUCAGCCAUGAUCCGGUGAAUACGUUCCCGGGCCUUGUACACACCGCCCGUCAAACCAUGGAAGCUGGGGGUGCCUGAAGUCUGUGACCGUAAGGAGCGGCCUAGGGUAAAACUAGUAACUAGGGUUAAGUC
rnacentral:rRNA from 1 species